GCCAGGCGUGGUGGCGCACGCCUGUAGUCCCAGCUACUUUGGGAGGCUGAGGUGGAAGGAUCGCUUGAGUCCAGGAGUUCUGGGUUGCAGUGCGGAUGUCCUCACUAAGUUCGGCAUCAAUAUGGUGACCUCCCGGGAACGGGGGACCACCAGGUUGCCUAAGGAGGGGUGAACCGGCCCAGGUCGGAAACGGAGCAGGUCAAAACUCCCGUGCUGAUCAGUAGUGGGAUCGCGCCUGUGAAUAGCCACUGCACUCCAGCCUGGGCAAUAUAGUGAGACCUGUCUCUU
rfam:Cavia porcellus supercont2_3 genomic scaffold, whole genome shotgun sequence.